AGGGUUUUAAGAAAUUUUUUUUAGGGUUUUAUCAGAGCACUUUGGGAGGAAAUACGAUGGUUGGGAUGGAAAUUUUGCAGGAGCUUCCGCGAUUUCUUGAGGUUUGAUUCAUCUUCCUCCUUCUCUCGUUGUCUGUCUCUCUGGGUUUCGUUGUGGGUGUGGGUGAAGAAGAGAAUGGGCGAUUUGCUUGCGGAGCUGGAGCAUCUACUCCGAUCGGAAGGGAUGACGAGGGAGGAGGCUGUGUUCAGUCAUUGUCUGGAUCGCAUCUAGAAGCUUGGUUCCUUGGCAUAGGUUUUAGCCUUUCAGCUGGGUCUGGUAUGCUAGCAGGAAUGUGGAGGUUUAAUCAUUCAUUGGAUGCUUGUGUGGAUAAAAUUCUAGGGCGUGAUUGGGAUCGCAUGAAAUUGGGUUUGGCAGGCAUAAUCAUGAAGAGGCAUAUGUAUAAUCCAUCACGUGUGAAACUUUUGAGUAAACAUAUGUACCCAGAGGAGGUAUUCAAUGACGUGAAUCCUGAUCGUGCUUUCACAUUAUGGCGGUUCCGGAACAUGUAUGUAGAGGGAAAUGAUGUUCAAAAGUUCUAAUACAGCAAAGUCGAA